GACGUGCACCAGCCGCGGGUCCAGGUCCUCGAAGAAGUGCAUGUCCGACGUGUUGAAGCAGGGGUCGUCGUAGAAGUCGUCGGCGGCCGCGAAGGAGCACAGCGAGCCCUCCGUCAUCUCCAUGGGGCCCAGGACCUCCUUAAACUCAAGCCUCGGACUGCGUUUAUUCCGAAGCCUUGGAAGAGAUCGACUUCACCUCGUGAAGCGGCGUUUUGCUGAGCUUGUAAUCGCGUUGUAAUGGGAUUGCUUGUGCAAUAAGGAUUUGUUAUUUCAGGGUGUAGUUGAAAGGAAGCUGUGAAGGGGGAAGCAGAUUGUACUGCUGAGUACAAUGAUGCUGAGGAGCACAGAGGGACACUCAUUCUAUACACGACAUACAGAAGAAUAUAGGGGAAGUCUCAGUGCGGUUUCCUCCCUCCACACCCACCACCAUGAAGCUGAAUCAUUAACAGAAAGGGACUGGGAAAGCAUCUGAAUUGUAGUUGUCUGUCCUGUGUUACAAAAGCAACAGAAAUGGGAAGGCAGACAAGUUGGCUGAUUUAGCACUGAAACAGUUGAAGACGACUCACAUAAUCCAUUACAGCACACUGGAAACAGCAGUCUCCAGCUGAGUGGAAGAUAAAGGGGCCAUUGUUCAUAUCCUUUUUGGCAAGAACUGCCAUCAUAUAGAGUUAGGACUGCAUGUCUGACACAGAGUUUCUAGGCAUUGUAAUCAAGAACAAAAGCAUGUAUACUAAUACAACAGUGAAAUUAUAUCUGGAAAUCUAAUAGUGGAUGAAUGCACAGAUCUGAGGUACCAACAAUAUAAUGCAUGAGUUUAGCGUAAUUACUGCUGGUUGCAAGAGAAUGAAAGUUGCUUGCUACACACCUGGAUGGUUUUAGAACAGUAGUGGCCGCCUCUUUCUUGCAGAUACUUCAUCAAAGCUUCUGCAGCUUUUCUCUCCUCCACAGCUUGAUGCAGAAAGAACUUGGAAAUAUUUGGUAGGGCCACAUGCGACUGAUCAAAAAAUUCACCCUAAAAUUCAAAAAUUCAAAACAAAAUUCAACCAGAGUGUUAAAGCUUGCUGAAGAGGAGAUUCACUUGCAGCAGAACACAGCUGUAUCAGAACUCAGGAAACAUUUCCAAUGGAGCUUGUUCUACCAGCUUAAUCACUUUGAAGAUUUUCCUUCAAACUUCUGCACUAAAUGAAGUCAGUCAUCAUUGUCCCAAAUAAAAAAACCUCCAUACUUCUACUACAAUGCCUUCUGCCUUUUAAGACUGGACAGGUGACUGUAUUACUCAUGUUCUCUCUCAUUAGCAGUCAUUCUAGCAAGGUACUGCUUAUGAGAUUUGCAUUUAGGAAAGAAAAAUAACUACAGAGGCACAUAUCCAAGUCUUCCACCACCAUAAUCAAAGGCAUCAAGAUCAGCAACAUUCUCCCCUUCUAGGUAUUGGAACUGGUAAGGGCCAGAUCCUAUUAUUUUUAAUUAAAUAAGCAUAGUCCAGCUUCUUGCCGAUUGAGCCAGAAGCACAGAGAACACAGAAUUUAUCCCUUCAGGUCAGCAUUCCAGUGAAAAGUUGGCUUUUAAAGGUAUGAGAAAGAUGAGGCAAAUACCAAAGGACAAAAGAACAAUUCUGCAUCAGUUUAUCAGCUCCUUUAUGCAUAAUGCUAUUCCAGUAGAAAGAACAUUAAAGGUAUACACAGUAUAGCUCAGUAGCAGUACAUAGCUCAUGCCUAAGAAGACUUCAGAAGUGUUAAAAUCCUAAACCCACUGUAGGCCUUGUUCUAUUUUUCUAUAUGGGAAAGUAACAACUUUCAUCAGUACAAGAUGAACUGUGCUAAUACAUCUGUCAGCUUUUCUGUUGGAUGAAUCUUAUGCAUGGUGUGGCAGGCUGAUCCUAGCUCCCUGCCUGCACUAUGGCAAACAGAAUAAAGAGAAUGUGCUAGAGAGACAGAUAGCAGUGGACGGCCUCCAGGCUGCACAGAGGGGUUCAACACUGGCUCUGCACAACUUUGAUAUCAAAGGCAGUGAGAGGCAGCAGCUGGGAAUAUGCCAAGAGCAGAAUUGAGGGAGCUACAAUAUAUCAAUCCACUGGUUCCCUAAACACACAUAGGCAAUACAGCACAGCCUUUGCCUCUUGGGCAGACUCUGGAGUACUGCAUAUUAAACUGCUGGCUUGUAGCCUGUCCAGGAGGAGUAGAGAACAAGUAUGUGCAUUUCAUAGAUUUUUCUGCUCCUGGCUGUCCUCCCCUUUCAUUUAUUAUUGUGAACAAAUAAAAAUACUUGUGUUUCAUCUAUGUUGCUCAUCUGUUUAGAAAGUGAGAAAAAGUUAUAUAUACAGUAUGAUGUGUUUAUGUUUUUCUCUUAUAUUUUGAUGACCAUUUUGGAUACCCCAAACCAUUUAGGAGAAAGUAAGUACUGCAGUGUUCAUUGAAAAUAUUCAAUGUAAUAGCUGCAUAAUAUUUUUCCUUGAAGUCAUUAAUUCAUAUUUCUGUUGACAGAAGAAUCAAGACUGAAUGUUUUAUGAUGAGUUCCUCAGUGCGAGUGUGCUGCAGGCCUGCUAGAACCCAAGUCACCAUACCUGCAUAAGUGUUAAGCUGCUGCCGCAACUGCAGAGCCCCAGCGCGCCAGCGUGCUCGUCCUCUCGGAAGUCCCUUCCACCCCUCCUUCUGUGGCCCUGCUGAGACAGCUACGUCCCAUCAACCCGUUUGGGGAGCUGGGGUGUUCUUCAGUCAAAGCUAAGAGUCUCUGCAGGUACCCGGAGCACUUCUGACAUACAGACUGUCCUGGGAGUUAAAUGGUUGGAUUGACACCAUUUGCUACUUGGCUUGAUAAAGAAGAAAUUGAAUCCACAGAUGCCCCAGUGGUGAGCAGUGUGCAAAAUAUUUGCAGCUUCAAAGGGAAUCCAUGAGACUGCAGCAGCUAAGAAUAUACUUCUAGCCUUGGACGUUCCUGUGCAGUUCUGCAAAUGUCUCUUCACUGAUAAGGAAAUGGCUUUGUCUAGCCUAUACCUCAGUAUUUGUCAAGAAUUGAAGAUUUCACUCUGUUAAAGUUGACAGCUUAAAGCAUUCCAGGAGAUGGGGAGAUGUGACGGUACUGAACCUGAAUUACAACUGGGCACGUCUCAGAUUCUUUAGACAUCUUGGUCUUUGCUCAUAAAUAACAAAGUUCAUGAUCAAUGGAAAUAUGACCUUCUCAAACUAAGGAGACGCUGCAAGAAGGUGGUCACAGCACCUUGAUCCUAUGUAAGCUGACUUCAGAAUGAGCCACGGUGAGUGAAGCAGGAGGGCGGCCAGCAGCAGAUGUCUACAGAGCCAUGUCCUGAAGGCACCGAGGAGUUUUGUUCAAUUCAGAUCUUCAGGACUAAACUCACAGUACGUAACCUUUGGAAGGAAACAGGGCAGGAAAUUCAGACAAACUUGCCUGGAAAUGAUGUUAGUGGGCUUGAGGAGCAAGCCUGUGUUCACACAGAGAGCUUCAGAGCUUUGGGCACCAGUGGAAGGAAAUCAGAAAUGGCACAGAGAGAAGGAGAAAGCCCUUGAGAGGAAGGGGAGUCAGCUUUGUAAUGGCAGAACGAUGAUGAACAUGGAGCAAUUAAUUAGCUUUGACUACACGAUACUCAUUAUACAUCCAGAUUUGUAGGUUUAGCUGCCCCACUUGGGGCUAACUAUUAUUUUGCAUAAUAUGUUUGAAUUACAUCCACCAUAAGGGAAUGAAACAGAUACAUAAAGGUGCCAUACAUCAGUGUAGCAUAUCAAAUUGAGAAAGGCAUUUUUAGCAGUCUGUAUUGAACGCAGAUUUAAGCCAGCAUUGGAUUAUACAUUAAGUGUAUUGUUGUUAUGACAAAUUUGAAAGGAGCUAAAAGCAUUUCAAUUGGUGAAAAAAUGGAAUUCUGUUUCCUUUCCCACAGCCUGGAACAAAAAUGAGAUUGCCCAGCCAGGUUUACGUAGCCCAGCAUUGUACCUUGCGAGCACCCUGUGGUGAGUUUGAAUGGGACAUGUUGAGAACUGUUGUGGCACUGGGGAGGAAUGGGCUUAUAAGAUCUCUCCAAAUAAUUUAGGUCCUAGAUCUUUUUAAAUGGUGAUGUAUGUUAGGACUGGGAAAAGUUCUGGCUGACUCCAUGACUCCAUCCAGUAGAGGCCAAUGGCUUUUUUAUUUUACUGUUACAUAAUUUUCUGUAGAACGGAUUUGUCACCACAAACAUUAAAAGCAAUGUAUUUUUCCACUGCACCUUGCAGUGCUAGCUUGAAACUUGAGCUUUUUGGAAGAGUGGUUUACAGAGUGGUGUCAUUUUUUUUAAAAAGAAUCAGUUGCUUUAAGUGGUAAACUGGUAAGUGUCAACUGCAUUGCUCAUGAUUUAAACCUCAAAAGAAAUAGGUAUUUCAUAUGGCUAUUGAUGGGCUAUGAAAGAAUUGAUGGUGCUAGAACUGAAUCAGCUGCACUGAAAAGAUUGUGGCUCUGAAAAGUGGUCCUCAGGUGAGAACCCCUGGUUUUAACUUUGACUCCAGCCAUGCUUUGAGAAAGAGGCUGGACUAGAUAACAUCUCAACCUAAACUAUUCUGUAUUCAAUCUGAAAACAAUCCUUUGGUUAGGUGGAUUCUAGUUCAGAUAAUUUUAUUAAACCUCUCUAAAAUCCAGCUAACCUAGAUUCUGCGUUAUGAUUUUCCUUAGAUGUUGGUAUGUGUGUGUGUAUUUAUUUAUCAUCUGUGGUUUGGCAGCAUGAAAAAGAUCGCAAUUACAUUCCUUACAGAAAGAAUAUCUAAAAUUAAAAUGUGAAUAAUAUACCGAGAUUACUGAGCAAUGAAAUGCCUCAUGGUCCAAGGAUUGUAGCAUUGUUUUGAUGCUAACUAGUCUGACAUGCCACAUACACUAUUUUAUUCUUUCUGGUAAUAAGAAAAAUUAGUAUAUCAUUACUAAUGGAUGUUUUCUAAUAGGGAAGGUGGGUGUCUGACUGCACGACCCUUUAGUUUGGGGAUAAUUUUAUUUUAAAACCCUUUAAUUUUGCACAUACAAUAUGGAAAUAAAUUGAAAAGUGCAUAUAAUAUUCCACAUGUAUUCUGCAGUUAUGUAGCUUAAUAUCCAGACACAGUAAUUUGUAUGGACAUUUUCUCUGGCUGUUUUAUAGAUAGAGUUCCCCAUACAAGUCGUUUUCAGUCAGCUGCCUAAUCUUUAGUACAACAGCCAAAUUGGCGAGAUAGAAACAGGAUAGCUGGACUAAAAGGUGGGUGGAAAAUUAGCAGGACUACCAUUCUCUCAGCCGUACAAAGUCAAAGUGGCAGCUGGUUACUAGUGGCACCCACAAGGGUCAGACCUAGGGCAUAUUCAGU